UGAAUGCAUCAUACGUAGUCGCAAAAGA
rnacentral:sRNA from 1 species